GAAAUGGGUGCAAUGGAGAAACUUCCCCACUUGUCUUUUCAUCUCAUAGUCUUCUGCUCUAAUCUUGUUUGUUCAUUCAAUCUGCUGCAAUGUUUUUUGUGUGGAUAGGAUGCAUAUAUCGCUGGUUUUGUUCAUGGGGGAAAAACCUCAUGAAGAAUUUCAGUGUAUCUAAAGAUCAAGCUCUCUGGAUCCCCCCACUCCCAAGAAUCUGUCAUGAUAACGUAGCUUGAGGAAGUUAUGAUUAUUCUACAUUCCUUCAUGUCAAACCAUAAACAUGUUAGGUCCUGUAUCAGCAAAGCCAGCUCAAAGUACUCUGUUGACAGAGAAGACAAAUUUCUAAGAGUCUUCACAGAUAGGAUUUAUUUCUAAGAAUACUUGACAUCAGUGAGUGAGUAGAGAAGUUCUCAAUAAUCUGAACCUAAGCAGACAGGAACCCUAACGAGGAAGUUCAAAUCACAGUGAAACCCUCUGCAUGUCCACACAGAAGAAAGACCCAGGGAGUUGCUAUAUUUUAAACGGCGUUUCUGUGUGCUCUGGCAUUCGUCAUGGUGUCCCGUUGUUCCAGAAGUGGUUUAGUCAUGCUGGUCAUGACUCAGAAAGCUGUCUGUGACAAACGCCGGCUCCCUCAGCCUGAAAAGCGAAAUUAGCAACUCCAAAAGUCACAUUUGACUGGACUUAACUGUCCAGGGGUCCUUUACCUUUUUACCUUUUACCUUACUAUGUAUUAAACAUUAUUAGUAGUGGUAUGCUUAUCUGCAAGUCCAUCUGCAUGGACUGCAAGAAGAACAAACCUAUCCAUUCUUAAGGGAAUCAGCCCUGAGUGCUCACUGGAAGGACAGAUCGUGAAGGUGAGGCUCCAAUACUUUGGCCACCUCAUGAGAAGAGAAGACUCUCUGGAAAAGACCCUGAUGUUGGGAAAGAUGGAGGGCACAAGGAGAAGGGAACGAGAGAGGAUGAGAUGGUUGGAUAGUGUUCUCGAAGCUACCGGCAUGAGUUUGACCAAACUGAGGGAGGCAGUGGAAGACAGAAGUGCCUGGCGUGCUCUGGUCCAUGGGGUCACAAAGAGUCGGACACAACUAAACGACUAAACAACAACAACAACAACAUGCUUAUCUACCAGUCACUUUCCUAUAGAUAUGCUCAGAGCAGCACACAGAAACAGUAAACAAUACAGAGCUAUAUAUUGAUAGAUAGAUACAGUAGAAAUAAUACAUGUACAAAAUCCAUUUGACAAAUUUCAUCAGUUAACAUUUAUAUCCACACCAGCUAGCUAACAAAAACAUCAAAAUUAUUUCCCCCCUAAACUGUUUGAUUAAUAAGAACAAUCACCAAAAAUAUUCACAUUUACCAAAGAAGGAUAGGACUUUCUUUAUGUAUGCCACAACAGCAGCAAGAACUUAUUGCAAAGUAUUGGAAGACACAAGAUCUACCCACCUUGGAAGAAUGGCAGAUGAAGGUGAUGGACUAUAUGGAACUGGCAGAAAUGACUGGCAGAAUCCGAGACCAGGGAGAAGAGUCGGUGGAAGAAGAUUGGAAAAAGUUUAAAGACUAUUUACAGAAAUAUUGUAAAAUUAAUGAAUGUUAGAAUGAUGUUGGAUAGAAACUAAGUGGUUUCUAGCUGUAAUGUUUUAAGGGAAUAUGAAAAAUGGACUAUUAAUAGGUAAAAAUCUAAUGUUACAAUACUUUAAGAUUGAAGAUUAGGAUAAACAAAGAGGGAGGGAUUUGCUGAACUAACAAACUGAAUUGGAAUACAGAAAAGGGAGGCGUGAGGAGGUCCGGGAAAUAAGCAAAUGAAAGAUAAGUAAUUGAAAGACUGAAUUGUUUUUAACUAUUUUUAUUUUCUAUUUUUCUUUUUUCUUUUUUUUAUUUUGUAAUAUUUUGAAAACCUUAAUAAAUAUCUUUUUAAAAAAAACAAACAAAAAUAUUCACAUUUAGCUAAAUAACUGCUAAACUUUCCACUAACUAAUCCAAGUUUCUAAAGUAUCAACAGUUCAAUGGGGCUUAAACUGGAUUUCAGCCCCAGAAUGCUUUUGAUCUCAUUCUCUCCCCCCCCCACAUACACACACUAAGAAAACAUGUUUAAGAAGCAUAUUUGCCUGUGAUCAAUUUGUGUACUGAAGUUUAGCUUCCAAGAUUAUCCAGCUGACUGUGAGAACCUGGCUAGCAAUGGCUCAAGAAACCACAUGCAUCAAUCUCAAUAACGGUUUCUCUUUAAAGCAAAACAAAGCAUGGGGGAUAUAACUCUUUUUGUUUUACUUGAUCCCUCCAUACAUUAAAUGCCUUUGCCUGCUGAUGUAAAAAAUCCAAGUCUCUGCCUGGUGAUGUAAUGUAUAUAGUCUGCUCUGAUAACCAAACAUUAGCCUAGGUGCAUUUUAGCAAGCACUUUUUGUUUACUUCCUCUAUGUGUACUUAUACCCCACUUUUCUUCCCAGGAGGUCAAGCUGGCAUACAUGGUUCUCUCCCUCUCCUGCCCCCUCUCCAUUUUGUCCUCAGAACAAUGUGAGGUAGAUUUGGCUAAGAGAUCAUCACUGGCCCAAGCUCUCAGCCGUAUAGCUGAAUGGAGAUUUAAAACAGGAUCUCCUCAUUUUUUGCAUUUGGAAAAUAUAUUGCAGUGGGUGUGCAGGACUAGGAGGCGCAGGAAGGAAGUAAAACCUCAAAGGAAGAGAUCUACUUUACCAACCAGUAGACAUUAAAAGAGAGGAAUCAGUGAUGAAGAAGAGGUAGCUUCUCUGUGUAUCACCCCACACUGAUUCAGGUAACAUAUUGCAAGCACUGUGGGUUUACUUCCAUCACCAAAGGCAGGGGGAGCUUGACAGGUUCAGUUGCACCGGGUGUGAAGCUUCUGGGGUGCCGCAGGAGGUGCCACAACUAUGAAGUCCAACAGAAGGCAAGAGGCAGGGGUGCAUGUUGCAUUUUGGUGUUGCACAGGGUGCCACUGAAAUUUGAGAUGCCAAGGUCUGCCACUGCCAACAUCCCAUCCUAGUCCAAGACUCCAAGCACUACUCCACACUCUCAGUGUGUGUGUGUGUGUAGUGUACAGUCUUCAGUAUACAUGAGGGAUGGAGAACUUGUUGUUUUUGUUCUACAGCUUCCACCAUCCUUGACCAUUGGCCAUCCUGGCUGCGGGUGACAGGAGUUAAGAGUCCAACAACACCUGGAGGGUCACAGGUUCUUCAUCCCUGCUUUACAUACACCAUCAAUUUGGUCUGCCUUUGGAAGUGGAAAUGUGCCCCCUUGCUGCCAAAGUUUUGCUUCAACAGCUGCUUCACCCCUAGGCCAUGUGAAAAUUGCGCUCCAAAUCAUGGUCUAUUAAAAAAUAAAAGUAGUUGCAUUGUUCCAUAAGAAAGAAAGAAGAAUCCAAAAUCCCUACUAUUUUGGUGGUCUGAAUAGAGGCAUUUCUGAAAUAUUAUAUAUUAAAUUAAUU